rnacentral:rRNA from 1 species
CCCUUAGAUGUCCUGGGCCGCACGCGCGUUACACUGAUGCAUUCAACGAGCUUAUAACCUUGGCCGAAAGGCCUGGGCAAUCUUGUUAACGUGCAUCGUGAUAGGGAUAGAUUAUUGAAAUUAUUAAUCUUGAACGAGGAAUUCCUAGUAAACGCAGAUCAUCAAUCUGCAUUGAUUACGUCCCUGCCCUUUGUACACACCGCCCGUCGCACCUACCGAUUGGAUGGUCCGGUGAAGCCUCGGGAUUGUGGUUCUUGCCGCUUUAUUGUGGCGUGACCGCGAGAACUUGUCUAAACCUUAUCAUCUAGAGGAAGGUGAAGUCGUAACA